rnacentral:hammerhead_ribozyme from 1 species
AUCCAAUUGACGAGUCCCAAAUAGGGCGAAACAUGCGUCCUGGAC